GGGGUCACAGCCGGAAGUCCUGGUGUGGGUGGAGUUGAGCCACAGACACAAACACUAACAGAAAAAAACAGUGGUUUCUUUACAAUGAGAACAAGAGGAAGAAAAUCGGUCGUGGAGCUGAUGCUGCCUGACCUGCUGAGUGUUCCCAGCAACUUCUGUUUUAUAUUAUCUAUGAUUGUAUAUCUGCUCCUGUCUCCGACAUUGAAUGACGAGAAGACCUGCUGUUGACAGAAUGUCCGUGCUGGGAAAGCAAAGAGGGGCGUUAUUUCAGAAUGAAGCAAUAAUUCAUCAGGAAAUUGAAAAGAUCUUCCUGGAGACAGAAAUGUUUUGAAUUUAAAUUGGAUCCUGGCACUGAA